AGUGAACGCUGGCGGUAGGCCUAACACAUGCAAGUCGAACGGCAGCACAGUAAGAGCUUGCUCUUACGGGUGGCGAGUGGCGGACGGGUGAGGAAUACAUCGGAAUCUACUUUUUCGUGGGGGAUAACGUAGGGAAACUUACGCUAAUACCGCAUACGACCCACGGGUGAAAGCAGGGGAUCUUCGGACCUUGCGCGAUUGAAUGAGCCGAUGUCGGAUUAGCUAGUUGGCGGGGUAAAGGCCCACCAAGGCGACGAUCCGUAGCUGGUCUGAGAGGAUGAUCAGCCACACUGGAACUGAGACACGGUCCAGACUCCUACGGGAGGCAGCAGUGGGGAAUAUUGGACAAUGGGCGCAAGCCUGAUCCAGCCAUACCGCGUGGGUGAAGAAGGCCUUCGGGUUGUAAAGCCCUUUUGUUGGGAAAGAAAAGCAGCAGGUUAAUACCCCGCUGUUCCGACGGUACCCAAAGAAUAAGCACCGGCUAACUUCGUG
rnacentral:rRNA from 1 species